GUCAGGAUGGCCGAGCGGUCCAAGGCGCUGCGUUCAGGUCACAGUCCGGUCUUCCGGGCGUGGGUUCGAAUCCCACUUCUGACA
rnacentral:tRNA from 1 species